rnacentral:rRNA from 1 species
UUGGGAAUCUUGCACAAUGGGGGAAACCCUGAUGCAGCGACGCCGCGUGGAGGAUGACGGAUUUAGGUCUGUAAACUCCUUUUGCAGGGAAAGACUUAGGACGGUACCCUGAGAAUAAGGACCGGCUAACUACGUGCCAGCAGCCGCGGUAAGACGUAGGGUCCAAGCGUUGUCCGGAUUUACUGGGCGUAAAGAGCACGUAGGCGGUCCGUUAAGUGUGAAGUGAAAUCUCCAGAGCUCAACUCGGAAA